CUGGAGAUGAAGGCAGGGACAGGGAUCCACUUCUCUUAAAGUGACAUCCAUGAUUUUUGAGUAGGGCAUUGAGAAGGUGAUACCCUCUGGCAAAGACAACUGAAGUCCAAGUCUUCUCAGACUGACCUUCAUAGAGUUUCCACCAUAUCAGUGAAGGAAGAAAAGGAGCCCCACCCCUUUAGCCACAGUCACCAGGGGUUUAACCUCUGCAACCAGAGCCAUCAUGAGCGGAACAUGUUUUCCCCACCAUGUGCUUCUGCCAUGAUGUAUUGCCCUAUCACAUGCCCCAAAGAAAUGGAACCAGUCACACAAGGCAAACAGGCUUCUGCCACCACGUACUUCUGCCAUGAUGUACUGCAUCACCACAGGCUCAAAAACAAUGAGGCAAAGCAACCAUGGACUGAAACCUCUAAAACCAUAAGACAAAAGGCAGAAGAAUGUAGCACUGCUGAGCAUUGGC
ensembl:lncRNA